AAGACUAUAGACCUGCGGAGUACCUGCGGAGGGAUCAUUCAAGAAAAUAAUAGUAAAAAAAGGGUUGUUAUAAUUGCUUUUAGUAUUUUUUCCAAGUGAAAAAUGCUUUAACAAUUGUAAUUUUUGACCCGAAACUUAUUCACACCCAACUAAAUUAUUUGUGACAGUUUCUUAAUAGUGUUGUUUUUUGCUUCACUUUUUGAGUUGUCACUAUUAAAUAUAAAUGGCUGAUGUUUUUAA
rnacentral:misc_RNA from 1 species